rnacentral:rRNA from 1 species
GCCGGCAGCCAUAUCACCCUGUAGCCCAAGACUGGUUGCCCACUGAAGCUAAGCAAGGCUGAGCCUGGUCAGUACCUGGAUGGGAGACCUCCUGGGAAAACUAGGUUGCUGCUGGAA